GCAACCCUACUUGAGUCGGUGCAUUUGACGUGGACAUCCGGAUGCCACCUGCACUUAAGUUGGAGUUUACCUCGACUGGAAACCACAAAGCUGGAUAAACUGAGAGCCCAUGUCUCUGGCCCAGAUGAAGAGGGUAUCAGUGGUGCUGGUGGACUGCUGUAGACCACAAGGACAGAAAAGGACGGAUAUGCUGAUGCAGACCAAUGGAGAUGCAGAACAGCCUGAGAUCAUUGUUGAAAGGAUCGCAAAUGGGAAGAGUUUCAAGAGGGAGUCAGAUCUCAACCCACAUCAGACAACACAUACUAGGGAAAAGCCAUAUCAGUGUACUACAUCUGGGAAGGAUUUCAGAUCAAGCUCAGCUCCUACUGACCAUCAGAGAACCCAUAUUGGGGGGUGGCCACAUCUGUGUGCAGAGUGUGGAAUGAGUUUUAGAUCAAGAUCAUGGCUUACUGCCCAUCAGAGAACACAUAGUGAAGAAAAGCCAUAUAAGUGUACUACAUGUGGGAAGGGUUUCAAAAGCGGAGGAAACCUCACUAUCCAUCAGAAAACACAUACUGGAGUAAAGCCAUA